UACGUAGGGGGCAAGCGUUAUCCGGAUUUACUGGGUGUAAAGGGAGCGUAGACGGUUAUGUAAGUCUGAAGUGAAAACCCGGGGCCCAACCCCGGGACUGCUUUGGAAACUGUGUAACUAGAGUACAGGAGGGGCAGGCGGAAUUCCUGGUGUAGCGGUGAAAUGCGUAGACAUCAGGAGGAACACCGGCGGCGAAGGCGGCCUGCUGGACUGAAACUGACGUUGAGGCUCGAAAGCGUGGGGAGCAAACAGG
rnacentral:rRNA from 1 species